rnacentral:snRNA from 1 species
GCUCCCUUUGGCAAUACAUACUGAAACUGGAACAAUCCAGAGAAGAUUUUCAUGACCCCUGUGCAGGGAUGACAUGCAAAUUCAUGGAACAUUCCAUAUUUUU